CAGAGUAGAGUUCAGCGCGUUAAGUGCCGGAAAUACGGUGAGUUGAUUUUCGGACGAAAACUUUGUUGCGGUGCCGGACUCGCAUCACACUG
rnacentral:ncRNA from 1 species